GACGAACGCUGGCGGCGUGCCUAAAACAUGCAAGUCGAGCGCAGGAAACUGACGGAACUCUUCGGAGGGAAGGCAGCGGAAUGAGCGGCGGACGGGUGAGUAACACGUAAGGAACCUGCCUCAAGGAUUGGGAUAACUCCGAGAAAUCGGAGCUAAUACCGGAUAGUUCAACGGACCGCAUGGUCCGCUGAUGAAAGGCGCUUCGGCGUCACCUUGAGAUGGCCUUGCGGUGCAUUAGCUAGUUGGUGGGGUAACGGCCCACCAAGGCGACGAUGCAUAGCCGACCUGAGAGGGUGAUCGGCCACACUGGGACUGAGACACGGCCCAGACUCCUACGGGAGGCAGCAGUAGGGAAUCUUCCACAAUGGACGAAAGUCUGAUGGAGCAACGCCGCGUGAGUGAUGAAGGUUUUCGGAUCGUAAAACUCUGUUGUAAGGGAAGAACACGUACGAGACGAAAUGCUCGUACCUUGACGGUACCUUACGAGAAAGCCACGGCUAACUACGUGCCAGCAGCCGCGGUAAAAC
rnacentral:rRNA from 1 species